UUCAGGCCAAAACACAUCGCUGCCUUUAGGAGAAGUGAAGGUUUAUUUGAUAGACAGAAAUAAAUAUUCCAGUCAUAAACCAACAGGUAGAAACAUCAUCACUCUGACUGAUGGACAGUUUUUAUUUUCCUCCGCUGGCAGGAAAAAUAACCUGGACGUUACCUAGACAAUCAGUGGUGGGGGGUGGGAAAUAAAAAUGUGGAGUGUGUCUUUAGUCUCCUGUGAUGUCGUGUAGCACCGAGGUGGCGUUUGAGGAACGUCAGUGACAAAGUGGAAACAAAAGGACGUCCUGCAGAGUCACAAACAGACGUUUCCUCUCGUACAAACAGCUGGUUUAAAGGUCUUGUUUUGGGCUGUUAUUGGAUUGUGGCCGUGUGUAAUCGGACAUCUCUCUCUCUCUCUCUCUCUCUCUCUCUCUCUCUCUCUCUCUCUCUCUCUCUCUCUCUGUUAGCUCAGAUGUAAUUAGCUCUGCAGCAGCCGAGCGUGUCUGGAGGAACACCCACCCGGAUGAAGACGAGAGCUGCAGUUUGACUUUGUCCCGUCUGAUCGUCUGACUGCUCUGGUCUCUGGACUCAUUUGUUUGUGCUUCUCCUCUCUUUGUCUCUUUCUCUGUCCUCAUUCUGCAGGUAUCUCUUUUUUUUGGAGGAGCAGGAUCCAGAUCUGCCAUGACGACACUCAACAUUACUAUUAGUAUGAUUAUUUCCACUGUAACGAUUAACAGCAGAUAUGAUAACCCUGUUACCUAUUGGUAUAACUUCUUAUUUUCACUGUUAGAAUUAACAAUCAACGGUGUAUACUGCUGUCAGUGGUUUUCCUUACUCCUGUUGAACAGUGCUUGCUCUUUCUAGGAACUGUUGGGUUUCUCUCUAGAAAUAAAUAAGGUCUUGACCAUACCUUGUAAAGUGCCAUGAGAUAAUGUACAUUAUGAUUUGGUGCUAUGCAAAUAGAAUUGAAUUGAAUUCAAUAGUAAAGCAUCAAAAAUUUCAUUAAAAAAUUAUACUAUAGUAAGUGUGACGGCCCCAGGGCCUCUAUCAGGGCUUGUGUGUGUGUUUCGUUGUGUUCUGUGUUCAUGUAGGUUCCUAGGUGGGUGGAGCUGGAGGCCAUCGAGGAAGUGAAGGCAGUUGGCCACCGUCUUCCACCUAGAUUAUACAGGACUGCCCCAUCCCGACACUAAGGAGGCUCCCUCUUUGCACCACAUGAUCUUAUGUUGGAGUCUUGAUUUUCUGUUUCUUUUGUUAUCUUUGUAAGAACAACAAGAAUGACUGUUAAAUAAAAUUCCUUUGUUUUC